UGGGGAAAAUCAGAAAUCGCUGGCCUCAGAUUUCCCUUCUCCUCUCCUCCAUCAAAUUUCCACCGCCGCCACCUGCCACAAUUCCUCGCAACUCUCACCACCAAGCCGCCUUCGUCGCGCCGGCCACCACCGAGAUAUGUCACCUCUCUUUUCCUUCACCAUGAUUCCCCCGCCAGCCCUCCGAUCUGCCGACUCCCCAAAAUUGAUUUGGGGAAAAUCAGAAAUCGCCGGCCGCCGCCACCUGCCACCUCCAUCUAAUUCCCUCCAUUUCGCUUCUCCACACAGGACUUUUCCCCCACCCCGCUGCGAUUAUAUGAUAUUUGGCGUCUCCAGACCAGACUCCCCUUCCUCCCGCUGUAUUUCGCCGCAGUCCGGCCUCAAGUCAGCACUGCCGUCCCUCUAACCGUCCUUGGGAGUUGUGGCGAAUUCAAUCUGCCUCUUCCACCUUCUCCGAUACCACCUCCAUUUCCAUCCCCCCGGCGAUCUGCCCUCCCGGCUUCCCCCCUACCUACAGAUUCCGGCGGUCGCGAAGGGCUCAAGACCACGGCCGGCUAUGGUAAGUUUUUUAUUUUUGCUUAUUUAACAAAAAUAAGCAAAUCAUAUCAU
rnacentral:lncRNA from 1 species